UGGAAUUUGGCCUUAUGCCUUACACUUUGUAAAAGGGAAAAAUCCACUGGAACGUUUUGUAAAAGAUGAAAAUCCUAUAAAAGUACACUUUUUCGUUACAUUUUGUAAAAGGGAAACUACAAUAUCGACCGAUUAAUUAGAAUCUGGGCUACAUUUUGUGAAGUGGAAAUUCCCUGGAAUCGUUACGUUACCCAUUUCGUUACGUUUUGAAAAAGGGGAAAAUCCCUUGGAAUCGUUUUGUUAUUUUUUAUGUCAAAUUUUGUAAAGGGGAAAAAUCCUUUGGAAUUGAGCCUUUGCGUUACGUUUUGUAAAAGGGAAAAUCCUCUGGAAUUUGGCCUUUCUCUCUACAUUUCAUAAAAGAGAUAAAUUCCCUAAAAUAUAGCAUUUUUGUUACGUUUUGUAAAAGGGGGAAAUCCAUUGGAAUCGUUCUGUUACCUUUUCUGUUAAAUUCUGUAAAAUGGAAAAAUCCUCUGGAAUUAAGCCUUUUCGUUACGGUUUAUAAAUGGGAAACUAGAAUCUCGACAGAUCAAUUAGCGUCUGUUAUAAGGGAACAGAGUAUAGUUAAAGUCAAACAGAGUAUUAUCCUCAUUCGUUGAAGAAAAAUC